CAUCGGGUACCAUUGCUAGAUGGUCACUUCGAUUAGUAUAGGAAUUGGUUCCUGUGCUACCGGCUUAGGUUCGAACCUGCGGGGUCACACACAUUAGAGGUUCCUAUCUGAUCUGAUGGCUGAUGUAGAAUCCUACAUAUUUGGGACUCGAUGAUCGAGAAUCAAGAUUCUCUAAUCACAAGUUUCACACAUUAUGGGUACCGGGGUCAAGAGUCCCACUGGUUGGGACUUUUCGAUCAGGGUUACAUAUCGAUGAAUUCUGAUGCCCGAUUGCCCAUCGAAUUUGGACUCAGUAUUUAUGAGAGGUUUAAUUAGUGAUUUGAUCACUAAUUAACUCAAUUUGAUUGAUUAAUUAUUUUUGAAUCAAGUCCAAUUGAAUUAGAUUCAGUUAGGUUUGACCCGAUUAGGUUAAGAGUUGACCUAAUCGUCAAGAUGGUUUGGUCCCUGAUUUGAUCAGGGGUUGGGCUUAGUCAAUUCCUGAUUUGAUUAGAAUUUUAUUGAGCCUAAUUAAGUCUAAUUAAGUUGGAUUUAAAUUAGUCUAAUUGGACCUAACUUAUUUGGUUCAAUUAGGUUGGUUUAAAUAAUUAAACCACCUUGACCCAAUCUCCAUGCGCCACCUCACUUUCAAUGCACCCAUUUGAAUUCAUGAGAAGGAACUUCUCAUGAAUUUUUUUUUCACGCCAAGCCCUCUCCAUGCCCCACUUUAAUGUGCCAUUUGAGUGGAUAAGGAUGAUUGGUUGGCCAUUCAAAUUCAAAAUAAAGUUUGAAUUUGAAUGGGCAAUCAAUCUUUGCGCCUUAUCCCUUUUUUUACGCCCCAUUUAUUACAUGAGAAAAAGUUUCUCAUGAAAUC
rnacentral:lncRNA from 1 species